rnacentral:rRNA from 1 species
CCUACGGGUGGCAGCAGUGAGGAAUAUUGGUCAAUGGACGAGAGUCUGAACCAGCCAAGUAGCGUGCAGGAUGACGGCCCUAUGGGUUGUAAACUUCUUUUAUAUGGGAAUAAAACGUUCCACGUGUGGGAUUUUGUAUGUACCAUAUGAAUAAGGAUCGGCUAACUUCGUGCCAGCAGCCGCGGUAAUACGGAGGAUCCGAGCGUUAUCCGGAUUUAUUGGGUUUAAAGGGAGCGUAGGUGGAUUGUUAAGUCAGUUGUGAAAGUUUGCGGCUCAACCGUAAAAUUGCAGUUGAAACUGGCAGUCUUGAGUACAGUAGAGGUGGGCGGAAUUCGUGGUGUAGCGGUGAAAUGCUUAGAUAUCACGAAGAACUCCGAUUGCGAAGGCAGUUCACUGGACUGCAACUGACACUGAGGCUCGAAAGUGUGGGUAUCAAACAGGAUUAGAUACCCCUGUAGUC